GUGUUUGUGGAAGUAUAUAUCACCACCAAACCCAAUAUACUAAAAAUAAAGUCUCUCUAAACCCCAAACCUUGUCCAAACAUUAAACUUCUUCUUCUUCUUCCUCCUUUCCACACCACAGAAACAACUACAAAAGAAACAAAGGAAGUCCAUCAAUGGAGGGCCUCAUUCCUUUGGUGUACAAGGCAAUAAAGAACAACAAAACCCGCCAGCAAUACGAGUGUCUGUCUUCUGGUUCUGCUCUUGGUUACAACCCUGCGGAUUUUCAUAAUGAAGCUGAGGUAUUCCUCAAAGCUGCAGCUUCAAACGAGAAAGGGAAUAUUGCAGGGAAAAAACUCCACAGGCGAUUCAGUUCUGUAGAAGAUUUCACGGUGACCCAUGUUUCUCCUCCUCGGAAGCAGCUUGUGAGGUUCAGGAGCCAUAGAAUGUUUUCUUGUGUUACAGGUGCCUAGAGAAAAAACAAGAUCAAAUCUUUAUGUUCUUGUUCAUUAAUUGUUUAUUUUAUUUUAUUUUUCAAUUUUCUCUGUAUUGGCUGCGUACAUCAACUCUCUUCUCUCUUCAGAAUUCAUAAGUGUGAGAUGUUUCGUUCACUUCAUCACCCAUUUUUCUCUGUGUUGUCUGUUAGUUGAAGAGAUGAAGCUGCUAGGGCUAGCUGUAAUAGUAGGAUGCCUGUGAGCUCAAUCCCAGAUUAGCAUACCUUAAUUUCUUGAUUUUAAAUCUGAAAGAGAUCUAAAAUUAAGAAUAUUG
rnacentral:misc_RNA from 1 species